CUGCCUUCUCUCCUCCCCUGUAUCAAGAGGAGCCAAUCAAAAGUACUGGUGGGAAACUGCCUGAGUUUGCCUUUAAAGCCGGACAUUUUCUGAUCAGACCUCGGAGAAGGUCCUUGCUUUGCCACCUGGUCUGAUCAGCUGAUGCUGUCUUUGGGGGGGGUCCUCUCCCCGCUCUCAUUUGUUUUUGAGCGUACCCCCCUUUUUAAACUCCCCUCCCACGAACAACAAAUUUGUGCCUGGAGAUCUCCUGAUUAUUGUAAGCAAAUCAAGUCCUCUAUCCAUCCUCCGAUGCUACUGCCGUUCCUGUCUCUGUGCUUGCUACUGUCCUGGGGAUUGAAGCACUCUGCUGAUGUGCUGGCCAAAUUACUUGGAUCUGGCAAUAACCAGUAGAUUCUAGACCAGAGACAGUAUCAGACUGCAACAAAAACAUUGACUAUGAUAUUUUGGGUUUGAGGAAUCAUAAAGCUGCGUGGCAAUUUCAAUGACCUUCUGUCUUCUAAUCUCAACCUGACUACAAUACCCAAUUUCUCUGGGCUCUAUCCUCAUCUGUGGCCAAGUCAAGUUCAGCUUUAAGUGAGAAUAUGUGGCAAAGGAGACUCGAAGACACCUUUUUCACUUCUUGAUCCUGACACCAGCAACAGACCAGUUCAGCACUUUACAAAAUGUAGACCUGCUUCUGGGCUGCUCUAAGUUGUAGCACCUGCAAUGACCUUCUAGGGGCCAUUUCACCAGCUUGGGAUCAGCAAAGUACAGCAGGUCUCCAGACAUGCCCUCUCCCUAGCCACUUCUCCUAUGCUGGGGAAAUCCUUUGCUAGCUAGUUUAAACCAGGUUUGCUGCUCUUUUGCUCCACCUGAGCAGCACAAAGAAACCAUAGCCAUGACCAGGAUUGGUGCCUCUCAGAUAUUGGACACGUUCAGAUAUUUAUCCAUACUAUACCCUUUGAGGUUUGCCUAUUGGUAUUUUUUACACUGACAAAUCCAGGACCUGUACUCAGGAAAUGUACUCAGGAAAUGAACUCUAAGUGGGAAGUUUGCCUGAGUAAGAACUUCAGGAUUCAGGCCCUUAAUUAAUAAGAUGCAUACUCAGAACAGGCAAUGAGAUUCUGAGCAAAUAUACUUCAGCCGUUGUUCUAAGGCAUGAAGGUGAAAUUGGAAUUUUUAUGUAAAAUUUAGAAAUGCAGAUAGGCUUGUGUCUUCACCUAGCAUUAUAGAGAUAUAAUAUCACCCACAGCUAAAAUCCAACCAAUUUUACAAAAUGUGCUAAAGCCAUUUCACUAUACAAAUUAUAUUCCUGAGUCAACAUUUAAAUCCCAGGAAGUGGAAGGUGAGGAGAAUCUACAAACAGAAUUGAUAUCAAGGAAUGCAAGUGUGAUAAAUACUACAAAAUAUUGCCAAAUUGUAUUUAAUAACCUAAAUAUGUAGGAAUUUGUUGUUAAAGAAAAACCUAUUAAUUGGAUCAUAUGUGAAAUACGAUGUUUUCUGAGUGUCACCAGUGGUGAAUAA